GAUAUAGCAUUAGUCGUCGCCCCGGUAGUUCAAUGGUAGAGCUCCAGUAUGUGGUGAGCGAAGCUGCCAAGCAAUAACUGUCAGUAGGUCGAAGGUUCGAAUCCUUACCGGUGGCGAAGC
rnacentral:tRNA from 1 species